rnacentral:lncRNA from 1 species
UUCAGAUUGCCAUUAAUUACAUAAAAGCAACUGGCCUUAUUGGUAAUCCAAGGGUCAACUUGGAAAAUGUGGAAGUACUCAGUGAAACUUAUUGGAAGAAAUCAGUGAAAUUCAGCAAGAUGGAACAUUUGUUUGGCACCGACUUUGCUAACAUUUGCAAAUACUUUCAUGUCCUCAGAUUUUAGCUUUAAUGGUCUUCUUUCAAGGUCUAUGGACUUUUAAAAUCCAGCUGUUUUCCAGUUACCUUUGCAAAUGCAGAAACAGUUCUAUGCAUUCCCUCCACCCUCCUCCCUGGGGCUUAGAUAGUGAGACUCAGAACGCCUUCCUCUGAGCAUUUAGAGAAGGAAUGGAAUGAUGUAUCAAGGCAAUAUUCCUGGAAGCUGAGAUCAACAGACCAUGAUUAAAGUCAGCUUGCAGUCAUAUUGGCUGAGUAUGCCACGCCAGCUGCUUGUAAACCCCACAAGAUGAUGGAUGUCUUAACUGCUAUCCCUACUGCUCUCCAGAAUUUGUCAGCAAAAAAGAAAAAUGGGGACGGUUACAAAUCCCAGAGAUUCAAAAAUUCUUUUUGCAACAGUGAGCGGUGAAGGCUUGGGUGACAGUUAUGAAUGGAUCACUGGCCAUUUGUGCGAUGGCGGGAGGAGUGUCUGAACCUUGGCACUGUAAUCAAGAGCCGCAGGAACUACCUGGACAGAAGGGGGAAGCGAGGCGAAAACAGAAAAGGUAGCAGGAAGAUGGCUGCAGUCCCCUAACUAGAAUCUGGAAGGUGUAGUUCCAGCCUCUGUCACAUUGGAAAGCCCUUGGAUAUAGGUGAGAACAGAUUCUGAGCCACAAUUAAUCAAAUCCUGCACACUGCCCUACCUGAGUCCUAUUAUAGGCAUGUCGAACUGUCUCCAGUUCAACAAUAUGCACUCAGCAUAACCAAAUCAGUUCAUUGAGGGAGAAAGGGAGAUUUAAAUAUGCUGAGCAAUUGUGUUGAACGCUCUAUUCAAGGAGGGAACCUCAGAUCUGGCAUGAAUGUGUGAUAGGAGACGCAGUCUCUCUGUUUCCUUGGUGUACCUCUCCUAGUUGGAGAAUCUUGCUGUGCUCAGUCUGUAUACUCUGAAUAAGUGAGCAGAGUGAUUGAAGAAUUGUUCAUUGUGACAGUCUGGUCCCAGAUACAAGACCAAACCAUUUGUGUUUACAAGAUAAAUGGUAAACUUGAAGACUGUUCUAGGGGGAUAAUAUUUUAAAACUGUUUAUGAGUUUUUGCCUUCCUAGUUGAAAUUUUAGACUCCUUCUUCCCCCUCCCACCCCCAGAAGAUGUGGUUUCAUUGUACUUCACUUAGAAUUCAAUGAGAAUCAAAUCAAAUGGGAAGUCAUAUGAAAGUAUGUUGUAAACUGUAAAGUCCUGCAUCAUAUCUGGUGUUAUUAUCAUAACAUAUCAUUGUAGCAUAACAAAUCAUAACAUUAUU